GAUGGAGAGCGGGGGAAGUUCCUUCCUUCAACUCCGGUCCCAGAGAGGGCUACCUCCAUUACUGAAUUUGGAUGUAACGGAGGCAGCCACAAACCGGAGGCUCUCUUCAAAUCAAGCAUUCAAAUUGGAAUGUGGUGAAUGAACCCUUGGAUUGAGUUAGGGUUCAAACUGCGGUUUUCAACGUUUGGACAUUCAGGUUUGGAGACCUCUGGCUGCUCUGCCUCCCAUUCCCUGUUAUGCCUGAAUCCGGUGCGCCCCUGCCCUGAGACCAUUUCUGUGUGCCCAUGGUCUUCAUAGGACGAUAGCAGAGUAACUUUCUGAAGGCUGGCCCAGCACCUGAGCACUUCCAGAAAGAGAUGUCCCAACUCCUGGAAGGCCUUGAAGGGGUCCUGUGCCAGAUGGAUGAUAUCCUCAUUUUUGGAUCCACACAAGCACAACAUGAUCAAUGACUCCAUGCUGUCCUGAAAUGGUUGGAGACCUCCAGCAUCACUCUUAAUGAUAAAUGUCAUUAAAAAACUGAGAAGAAAUGAAAUCAGAAGGAGAAAUCAAUGUGCAGAGAGAAACCUCAGCUACACCACCACUGCUCUUAUGCCAAGGAGCAACUCUCUGCAAAUCUCCACAUAUGUCUUGAAACAGGCUGAGGCUCCAGUCUAAGACACUCUUAUUCUAAGUGAGAGAAAUCGUUGAAAAGCAACAGCCAACCG